GAGUAGUUUGUUGCACUUUUUUUUAAAAAAGUACUUUUCCUCCACAAACAACAACAGCCCAGCCUACCCCGGCAGCUAGUAGGUAGGCACCGCCCUCAAAAUGUGGAGGCCGAGCACCGCAAGCCAAUCACCCACGCAGAGCGCUUUAAAGAGAGAGUCGCGUCAACGGAAGCUCAACUGCUGGAACAAAAGGAUCCCUUCGAUGAAUCAUUCAGUGCCUCCAGUAGGUUGGCAGGCCCAGACCACUGGAAACAACUAUGGAAAGUAGUACUAGAAGUCAACCACAUUUGACCUUCCAGAAGUAGACCCGGCCGGUCGUUCCUCACCUUUACAUGAGAGAAAGAACUCAAACCGGUUUGAGGUGCCCCCCUUCUGGUCUGCUGGUCUGAUCCGACUCUGCACCUCUACUGUCAGGAGGUCCUGUCGCUGAGGUCUGGACGUCAGACCGAUGAGUCGUCGUCUUCUUCUUCUCCCCUGAGACGUUCACGCCUCUCAGCCAGAGAUCAGGGUUUACUGUUGGAGACAAACAGAAGUUUGACUCACAAAGUAGAUAUCGGUGAUUGGCACGUCGUCUUCAUCGUCGACUGAAGCCUGGCUGGUGCAGCCGGAGCCGGACACCCGGCUGGCCCCGUCCGCCUCCACCACCACCACCACCUUGGGACUGGACGGGGCUUCAUUGGCUGCCCCGGAGGAGGAAGAGGAGGAGGGGGGGGGGGGAGGGGCAGGCGAGGAUGAGGAGGAGGCCGCCGCUGCUGCUGCUUCAGGUGCGGACGAAGAGCCGGCUCCUUCCUGAACUUCACUGGAAGAAGGUGCAGGUGGCUAAACAAGUUUUUCUGUGUGUUGCUACAAACUGGGGGGGGGGUCGCCCCGACAACCAUCUACUGUGUUUAAUACGCUGCAUCGCCGCGCUCUGCCCGCGGGCGUUAUUCACCCUCGUCCUCCAGCGUGGGGAAGCUGCGAGCU